AUCCCCGACUAGCAGGAUCUAUACUAAAACUAAUGAUACAGAUAAGAUUAGAAUGGUCUCUGUGCAAGGAUGUGCUGCAAAUUCACUAAGCACUCCUGAUGAAA
rnacentral:snRNA from 1 species